rnacentral:rRNA from 1 species
CGUGGGUAACCUGCCCAAGAGAUCGGGAUAACACCUGGAAACAGAUGCUAAUACCGGAUAAUAACAGAUGAUGCCUAUCAACUGUUUAAAAGAUGGUUCUGCUAUCACUCUUGGAUGGACCUGCGGUGCAUUAGCUAGUUGGUAGGGUAACGGCCUACCAAGGCGAUGAUGCAUAGCCGAGUUGAGAGACUGAUCGGCCACAUUGGGACUGAGACACGGCCCAAACUCCUACGGGAGGCAGCAU